rnacentral:rRNA from 1 species
UACGUAGGGUGCGAGCGUUAAUCGGAAUGACUGGGCGUAAAGGGUGCGUAGGCGGUCGAGUAAGUCUGACGUGAAAUCUCCGGGCCUAACCCGGAAACUGCGUUGGAAACUACUUGGCUAGAGGAAUGGAGGGGAGACUGGAAUACUUGGUGUAGCAGUGAAAUGCGUAGAUAUCAAGUGGAACACCAGUGGCGAAGGCGAGUCUCUGGACAUUUCCUGACGCUGAGGCACGAAAGCCAGGGGAGCAAACGGG